rnacentral:rRNA from 1 species
AUACGGAGGGGGCUAGCGUUGUUCGGAAUUACUGGGCGUAAAGCGCGCGUAGGCGGAUUGGUUAGUUGGGGGUGAAAUCCCAGGGCUCAACCCUGGAACUGCCCUCAAUACUGCCAGUCUAGAGAUCGAGAGAGGUGAGUGGAAUUCCUAGUGUAGAGGUGAAAUUCGUAGAUAUUAGGAAGAACACCAGUGGCGAAGGCGGCUCACUGGCUCGAUACUGACGCUGAGGCGCGAAAGCGUGGGGAGCAAACAGGAUUAGAAACCCGUGUAGUCC